CCUACGGGAGGCAGCAGUGAGGAAUAUUGGUCAAUGGACGAAAGUCUGAACCAGCCAUGCCGCGUGCAGGAUGACGGCUCUAUGAGUUGUAAACUUCUUUUGUCAGGGACGAAGCAAGUGACGGUACCUGACGAAUAAGCCACGGCUAACUACGUGCCAGCAGCCGCGGUAAUACGUAGGUGGCAAGCGUUAUCCGGAUUUACUGGGUGUAAAGGGCGUGUAGGCGGGACUACAAGUCAGAUGUGAAAACCACGGGCUCAACCUGUGGCCUGCAUUUGAAACUGUAGUUCUUGAGUACUGGAGAGGCAGACGGAAUUCCUAGUGUAGCGGUGAAAUGCGUAGAUAUUAGGAGGAACACCAGUGGCGAAGGCGGUCUGCUGGACAGCAACUGACGCUGAGGCGCGAAAGCGUGGGGAGCAAACAGGAUUAGAUACCCUGGUAGUC
rnacentral:rRNA from 1 species